rnacentral:rRNA from 1 species
AUUGAACGCUGGCGGCAGGCUUAACACAUGCAAGUCGAGCGAGCGGCGGACGGGUGAGUAAUGUCUGGGAAACUGCCUGAUGGAGGGGGAUAACUACUGGAAACGGUAGCUAAUACCGCAUACCAUCGGAUGUGCCCAGAUGGGAUUAGCUAGUAGGUGGGGUAAAGGCUCACCUAGGCGACGAUCCCUAGCUGGUCUGAGAGGAUGACCAGCAACACGGGAACUGGGACACUGUCCAGACUCCAACGGGAGGAAGCAGUGGGGAAUAUUGCACAAUGGGCGAAAGCCUGAUGCAGCCAUGCGGCGUGUAUGAAGAAGGCCUUCGGGUUGUAAAGUACUUUCGGCGGGGGGGCGUUACCCGCAGAAGAAGCACCGGCUAACUCCGUGCCAGCCGCCGCGGUAAUUC